UACGGGGGGGGGGCAAGCGUUGUUCGGAAUCACUGGGCGUAAAGGGUGCGUAGGCGGGUCUUUUAAGUCAGGGGUGAAAUCCUGGAGCUCAACUCCAGAACUGCCUUUGAUACUGAAGAUCUUGAGUUCGGGAGAGGUGAGUGGAACUGCGAGUGUAGAGGUGAAAUUCGUAGAUAUUCGCAAGAACACCAGUGGCGAAGGCGGCUCACUGGCCCGAUACUGACGCUGAGGCACGAAAGCGUGGGGAGCAAACAGG
rnacentral:rRNA from 1 species